CGACGAAUACUUUAUUUGAUAUGCUCCAUGAUCUGAAGUACGACGAACAAUGUAUUAAAUAUGUAAAAAAGAAAAUAAUUGCUACUUGUAUUCGCACGUCGUAUUAUAUAUUCUGUAGACGAAACAAAGACUGGAACAACCCAGAACUUUUAAACUUUUAACUAAAUUUAAAAGAUUUUCACCUGUAUAUAUAUUUUAGCUUUAAAUUCAAUUCAAGUGGACAUCGAUAAGCUACCUUUUAUUAAGUGAGGUUUAUCAAUGUAUAUAUAGUAUAUCGUAAAUAUCUAAUAAAAAGUUUCCAUUAUUAUUAUUAUUAUUAUUAUUAUUAUUAUUAUUAUUAUUAUAAAUAUGUAGCAAAAUGUAUCGCCGAAGAUUUUUGCUAACCAAGAAGAGUGCAGAUUCCAACAAACGAUAGAUAGAUAGAUUUAUUAAAUUUAAACUGAGACGCGCAGCUUAGGCCUUGGACGUCUCCUGAAUAAUGUUAUUAAGUUGUGCAAGUAGUUAAAAGUUAAAGUUAGAUCGACUAACUGUUGUAAAAAUUGGCUCGAUUCAAUUACGUAUUUACAUGCAUCACAAUUAAUAAAAUCAUUCUUAAAUCUAUUUGUCUUAAAAUUAGGAAUUUGAAACAUUCUUCUUCCCCGCAAGCAUAUUUCUAAGGAGUUCACUGGAGGCAAUAAUUCAUGUAGUUUGUUCUCAGGAUCAUCAGUGACUAGUUUAAAAAGUUUGUUAGUUACGUUAUGUCGUCUUGCAGCCAAGUUUGUUACGUUAUGUCUUCUUGCAGCCGGCUUCAUUAUACGGAUGAUCUGGUAAUACUAUUCCACAAGCCAGGGCCUUUUUUAAGGAUUUUCCCGUGGGGGGGGGGGCAUUUUUUGAAAAGGGACCUUUCUGUGAGAUAAUAUAUUACAGGGAGAUAGCAAUGGCUGAAGGCCACGUGUGCGCCGAACAUACCAUGCACUCAUGAAUGAGGGGGGGGGGGUACUUCCCCAGAACAUUUUUGAAAUUUGAAGCACAGAAAUGCCAUUUCCUGCAUUCUGAGCAUCCAAAUGCGCUCCAAAAUGUAUACUAACUAUACUUGUAUUUGAAAUAAAAGAAGGAAAAAACCCACAAAAAGUAAAAAAAAAUAAUAACCAUAAUUUAUCAUUACUUAUUAGAGGAGGAUCCCAAUGGUCACGUGUGUGGGGGUGUACUCCCCAGAACAUUUUUGAAAUUUAAAACACGGAAAUGCCAUUUCCUGCAUUCUGAGCAUCCAAAUUUGCUCUAAAAUUUAUGCUAACUAUACUUGUAUUUGAAAUAAAAGAAGGAAAAAAUGCACAAAAAGUAAAAAAGAAUAUUAACCGUAAUUUAUCAUUAUACUUAUUAGAGGGGGAUACCAAUGGCCGAAGGCCACUUGUGUGCAUAAUCUCCAGAACAUUUUUCAAAUUUGAAACCUGGAAAUGCUCUUUCCUGCAUUCUGAGCAACCAAAAAAUAAAAAAUUAUUAACAAUAAUUUAUCAUUACUUAGUGAUAGAAAAACGUAACAAUUUACUAAUCGAUUUUGUUAAACAAGGACAAAGGAUAAAGCCUAAAACUUACUUUCCGUUUAUUUAUUUGUUAUUCUUCGCUGUUUUGUUGGUAUAAAUUUAGGAAAAAGGGAC